rnacentral:rRNA from 1 species
UACGGGGGGGCAAGGCGUGUUCGGAAUUACUGGGCGUAAAGGGCUUGUAGGUGGCCAACUAAGUCAGACGUGAAAUCCCCCGGCUUAACCGGGGAACUGCGUCUGAUACUGGAUGGCUAGAGAUUGGGAGAGGGACGCGGAAUUCCAGGUGUAGCGGUGAAAUGCGUAGAUAUCUGGAGGAACACCGGUGGCGAAGGCGGCGUCCUGGACCAACACAGACACUGAAAAGCGAAAGCCAGGGGAGCAAACGGG